rnacentral:rRNA from 1 species
UACGUAAGGUGCAAGCGUUGUCCGGAAUCACUGGGCGUAGAGGGCGCGUAGGCGGUUUGAUAAGUAGAAGGUGAAAGAUUCGAGCUCAACUCGAAAACUGCCUUCUAAACUGUCUUACUUGAGGGUCUGAGGGGAAACUGGAAUUCACGGUGUAGCGGUGAAAUUCGUAGAUAUUCGCAAGAACACCAGUGGCGAAGGCGGCUCACUGGCCCGAUACUGACGCUGAGGCACGAAAGCGUGGGGAGCAAACAGG